UAAGGGCGCACGGUGGAUGCCUUGGCACUAGAAGCCGAUGAAGGACGUUACUAACGACGAUAUGCUUUGGGGAGCUGUAAGUAAGCUUUGAUCCAGAGAUUUCCGAAUGGGGAAACCCAGCAUGAGUUAUGUCAUGUUAUCGAUAUGUGAAUACAUAGCAUAUCAGAAGGCACACCCGGAGAACUGAAACAUCUUAGUACCCGGAGGAAGAGAAAGAAAAUUCGAUUCCCUUAGUAGCGGCGAGCGAAACGGGAAGAGCCCAAACCAACAAGCUUGCUUGUUGGGGUUGUAGGACACUCUAUACGGAGUUACAAAGGACGACAUUAGACGAAUCAUCUGGAAAGAUGAAUCAAAGAAGGUAAUAAUCCUGUAGUCGAAAAUGUUGUCUCUCUUGAGUGGAUCCUGAGUACGACGGAGCACGUGAAAUUCCGUCGGAAUCUGGGAGGACCAUCUCCUAAGGCUAAAUACUCUCUAGUGACCGAUAGUGAACCAGUACCGUGAGGGAAAGGUGAAAAGCACCCCGGAAGGGGAGUGAAAUAGAACCUGAAACCGUGUGCUUACAAGUAGUCAGAGCCCGUUAAUGGGUGAUGGCGUGCCUUUUGUAGAAUGAACCGGCGAGUUACGAUUUGAUGCAAGGUUAAGCAGUAAAUGUGGAGCCGUAGCGAAAGCGAGUCUGAAUAGGGCGUUUAGUAUUUGGUCGUAGACCCGAAACCAGGUGAUCUACCCUUGGUCAGGUUGAAGUUCAGGUAACACUGAAUGGAGGACCGAACCGACUUACGUUGAAAAGUGAGCGGAUGAACUGAGGGUAGCGGAGAAAUUCCAAUCGAACCUGGAGAUAGCUGGUUCUCUCCGAAAUAGCUUUAGGGCUAGCCUCAAGUGAUGAUUAUUGGAGGUAGAGCACUGUUUGGACGAGGGGCCCCUCUCGGGUUACCGAAUUCAGACAAACUCCGAAUGCCAAUUAAUUUAACUUGGGAGUCAGAACAUGGGUGAUAAGGUCCGUGUUCGAAAGGGAAACAGCCCAGACCACCAGCUAAGGUCCCAAAAUAUAUGUUAAGUGGAAAAGGAUGUGGCGUUGCCCAGACAACUAGGAUGUUGGCUUAGAAGCAGCCAUCAUUUAAAGAGUGCGUAAUAGCUCACUAGUCGAGUGACACUGCGCCGAAAAUGUACCGGGGCUAAACAUAUUACCGAAGCUGUGGAUUGUCCUUUGGACAAUGGUAGGAGAGCGUUCUAAGGGCGUUGAAGCAUGAUCGUAAGGACAUGUGGAGCGCUUAGAAGUGAGAAUGCCGGUGUGAGUAGCGAAAGACGGGUGAGAAUCCCGUCCACCGAUUGACUAAGGUUUCCAGAGGAAGGCUCGUCCGCUCUGGGUUAGUCGGGUCCUAAGCUGAGGCCGACAGGCGUAGGCGAUGGAUAACAGGUUGAUAUUCCUGUACCACCUAUAAUCGUUUUAAUCGAUGGGGGGACGCAGUAGGAUAGGCGAAGCGUGCGAUUGGAUUGCACGUCUAAGCAGUAAGGCUGAGUAUUAGGCAAAUCCGGUACUCGUUAAGGCUGAGCUGUGAUGGGGAGAAGACAUUGUGUCUUCGAGUCGUUGAUUUCACACUGCCGAGAAAAGCCUCUAGAUAGAAAAUAGGUGCCCGUACCGCAAACCGACACAGGUAGUCAAGAUGAGAAUUCUAAGGUGAGCGAGCGAACUCUCGUUAAGGAACUCGGCAAAAUGACCCCGUAACUUCGGGAGAAGGGGUGCUCUUUAGGGUUAACGCCCAGAAGAGCCGCAGUGAAUAGGCCCAAGCGACUGUUUAUCAAAAACACAGGUCUCUGCUAAACCGUAAGGUGAUGUAUAGGGGCUGACGCCUGCCCGGUGCUGGAAGGUUAAGAGGAGUGGUUAGCUUCUGCGAAGCUACGAAUCGAAGCCCCAGUAAACGGCGGCCGUAACUAUAACGGUCCUAAGGUAGCGAAAUUCCUUGUCGGGUAAGUUCCGACCCGCACGAAAGGCGUAACGAUUUGGGCACUGUCUCAACGAGAGACUCGGUGAAAUCAUAGUACCUGUGAAGAUGCAGGUUACCCGCGACAGGACGGAAAGACCCCGUGGAGCUUUACUGUAGCCUGAUAUUGAAAUUCGGCACAGCUUGUACAGGAUAGGUAGGAGCCUUUGAAACGUGAGCGCUAGCUUACGUGGAGGCGCUGGUGGGAUACUACCCUAGCUG
rnacentral:rRNA from 1 species